CACACACACACGCACUGCCAAGACAGUCAGCCAGACAUUUUGCACAAGCCUACCAAAGCACUCGCACUCAAAUCCCCCAAAAAUGGCUUCUCCGUUUGUUCAUCUGUUGUCCCAGAGUUCAGUUCAGUGCAGUUAUGGGGGUUGCAGGAAGAACACGGAGUGAUUCAAGGGAACAUGGGGGUGAUGAACAGAACACUGAAGAACUAGGGGAUGAUGCAAGCAUCCUGGCAUGGAACUCUGCCCUGCAGUCACAAGACACAGACACCUCACCGCACUACACACCACACACCACAAGGGGGCACUGUCAGCUCUGCUAAUAAUAAACGUACUGUGUGUGUCCGGUCUGUAUUUGUGUGUGUGUGUGUGUGUGUCUGUAUCUGUGUGUGUCUGUAUCUGUGUUUGUGUUUGUGUGUUUGUGUGUGUGUGUGCAUGUGUGCAUGUGUUUGUAUGUCAGUUUCCCAACAGUCUCCUGAUUUUACCAUCAGACAGUUUACUCCCAUGGACUACACACCCUAUAUAAGGUAAAACACACACACACACACACACACACUCACACACACAUAACUAUACACACUAUUAUUGAUCUGAUCUGAGGCUGUUACAUGAUUGUGUCUUUGCUUCUCGCCCUCCACCGCCUCAAAGCUUACAGUCUCUCUCUCUCUUUCACUCUUUCCUCUCCAUCCCUCGGUUUUCCCAGGCACACCCGUUCGCAGCCUCUCCUGAAGGAUGCGGACAUUGAGGAGCGUCAGCAGGUGGAACGUUCCGAGCGGAUCCAGGAGUUCCGUCUGCAGCGAGACAUGGUUCUAGAGCGCCGCAAGCAGGAGAUCAUCAUGCGGCAUGAGCUCAAGAGACGCCAGAUCGAGCUCUAUGAUGGUAUACAGGUCUGUCUGUCUGAGCAGAGGCAGCGUGUGCUGGAGGCUCGCGAGGAGUUCCACUGCCGCCUGCUGGAGGAGGAGGAGCAGCGGCGCAAGGAGGAGGUGGCCUGCGAGGCCCAGCGCCAGUUGGACCUGGAGAAGAACCAGGCGCAGGCCGCCACCACCCGCAAGAGCGCCGGCAAGAAGAAGUGACCCCAUUGCCCCCCCCUCCCCACGGCCACAGUGGCGUGUCAUCUUUAGAGGGGGUCUCACUCCCGUGGCUCAUAUUGCAGGUCCUCUGCUUCUCUUUCAUACACAGUGGAAACGCUCCAGAAACUCUUAUUUAUAAAAAGGGAAUAGUCCAACACUUACUAUGGAAGUCUACCUAGAUUCUGUAUAUACGCUUGUGUUUGUCAGUCUGCAAGUCCUUGUUUGUUUGAUGUGACUGUAAAUGCUUAUAGGUAUAUGUGUGUGUGUGUGUAUACAUUUCACAAUAGGCGUUAUGUUUAUGUGAGUGUGUAUUCUGCUCUGGGUGCAGGAAAAUUCAAAGAUCAUUUGUAGAACACUUAUUGAGGUCUGUGUGAACUUAAAUAAGGUAUGGUUGAAUCGUUGUGAUUGGCUGAUAAAAAAUGACUUCAUUGCCACACCCAUGAAUUACUCAACCCAUGUCUGCUUGGUAGCGCCCCUGCUUUGUGUCAAUGAAAUGAGCACAUAUAGGUGUCCUGCCUAUUCUCACUGUGUGGUUGCUCAUGUGAGAGGCCCGUCCACAGUGCUUGGGGCCCUAUGACAUUAGGGCCCAUUAUAUUUAUAUAAGUGUGUAUUCUGCUCUGGCUGCAGGUACAUUUAAAGAGAACCUGUGGAUACAAUUCACCUAUUGACUUUGAAAGCUACCUUUUGAUUGUUUUUUUUCUUCUGAUAUCUAUUCUACAGCAGUCACUGAGUCUCUCCCCUUGUCUCUCUCUCUCUCACUCACUCACUCAGACAUAUACACACACACACACACACACUCUUAUUCCACAAAAUGAGUUUUUGUUGUUGCUGACUAUCAGAUUUGUAUGGGUUUGAUUCUGUGUUGGGCGGUGAAAGCCACAGCUCCUCAUACAAGCCAAACCAACCAGCAGCCAAUAAAGUUCCCGUAAGUGUCCU
rnacentral:lncRNA from 1 species